rnacentral:rRNA from 1 species
ACGACGCUGGCGGCGUGCCUAAUACAUGCAAGUCGAACGCUUUUCUUUCACUGGAGCUUGCUCCACCGAAAGGAAAAGAGUGGCGAACGGGUGAGUAACACGUGGGUAACCUGCCCAUCAGAAGGGGAUAACACUUGGAAACAGGUGCUAAUACCGUAUAACACUAUUUUCCGCAUGGAAGAAAGUUGAAAGGCGCUUUUGCGUCACUGAUGGAUGGACCCGCGGUGCAUUAGCUAGUUGGUGAGGUAACGGCUCACCAAGGCAACGAUGCAUAGCCGACCUGAGAGGGUGAUCGGCCACACUGGGACUGAGACACGGCCCAGACUCCUACGGGAGGCAGCAGUAGGGAAUCUUCGGCAAUGGACGAAAGUCUGACCGAGCAACGCCGCGUGAGUGAAGAAGGUUUUCGGAUCGUAAAACUCUGUUGUUAGAGAAGAACAAGGAUGAGAGUAAAAUGUUCAUCCCUUGACGGUAUCUAACCAGAAAGCCACGGCUAACUACGUG